rnacentral:rRNA from 1 species
AGCGAACGCUGGCGGCAGGCUUAACACAUGCAAGUCGAGCGCCCCGCAAGGGGAGCGGCAGACGGGAGAGUACCACGUGGGAACAUACCUUUUGGUUCGGAACAACUGAGGGAAACUUCAGCUAAUACCGGAUAAGCCCUUACGGGGAAAGAUUUAUCGCCGAACGAUUGGCCCGCGUCUGAUUAGCUAGUUGGUGAGGUAACGGCUCACCAAGGCGACGAUCAGUAGCUGGUCUGAGAGGAUGAUCAGCCUCACUGGGACUGAGACACGGCCCAGACUCCUACGGGAGGCAGCAGUGGGGAAUAUUGGACAAUGGGGGCAACCCUGAUCCAGCCAUGCCGCGUGAGUGAUGAAGGCCUUAGGGUUGUAAAGCUCUUUUGCCCGGGAAGAUAAUGACGGUACCGGGAGAAUAAGCCCCGGCUAACUUCGUG